GCCUGGGUGGCUCAGUUGGUUAAGCAUCUGACUUCAGCUCAGGUCACGAUCUUGCCGUUUGUGAGUUCAAGCCCUGCAUCAGGCU
rnacentral:tRNA from 1 species